GCUCAUUAACACGUAGUCAACAUGCCCAGAGGACAUGGAUAACCUCGGGAAACUGACGAUAAACCGCGAUAGGUCAUAAUAUCUGGAAUGAUUUAUGGUUUAAAUCUAUAUGGCCUCUGGAUUGGACUGCGGCCGAUCAGGCUGUUGGUGAGGUAAUGGCCCACCAAACCUAAAACCGGUACGGGCUCUGAGAGGAGAAGCCCGGAGAUGGGCACUGAGACAACGGCCCCGGCCCUAUGGGGCGCAGCAGGCACGAAAACUCUGCAAUAAACGAAAGCUUGACUGGGUUAUUCUGAUUGAUUUCCGCUAAGGAAAUCUUUUGGCACCUCUAAGAAUGGAGCAAAAUAAGGGGUGGGCAAGCCUGGUGUCAGCCGCCGCGGUAAUACCAGCACCCCGAGUGGUCGGGACUAUUAUUGGGCCUAAAGCAUCCGUAGCCGGUUCUACAACUCUUCCAUUAAAUCCACCUGCUUAACGGAUGGGCUGCGGAGGAUACUAUGGAGCUAGGAGGCGGGAGAGGCAAGCGGUACUUAGUGGGUAGGGGUAAAAUCCGUUGAUCCAUUGAAGACCACCAGUGGCGAAGGCGGCUUGACACAACGCACUCGACGGUGAGGGAUGAAAGCUGGGGGAGCAAACCAGAUUACAUACCCGGGUAGUCUCAGCUGUAUACGAUGCAGACUCGGUGAUGAAUACGCUUCGUGUCUAUUCAGUGCCGCAGGCAAGCC
rnacentral:rRNA from 1 species